GGAGAUCACUCCUUGUGAGUUUUCUUGUGAGCCUAUGAUAUUGAUCUCUUCUGGAGGCGAGAAAGUGGGAAGUCAGCCACAUAUCUCUGUCAUAGUUGAGGAUACUGUUAACUGAAUUUGUGCAAAGUGCCUACUUGUAUGAUCAGCAACUGGCUGGACUGAGGUGGCAGUGAUGAACUGGCUGUACCUGGGCUGCUGGAAGAAACUCAUUCCUUAGAAGCAAACCUUUAGAAAGAACAGCAUUUAUGAAAUGAUGCAUUGUGCAGUGGACAAGCCCCUCUUGCCUCAUUUAUCACUGGGACAACAGUAAGGGCAGGUGUUGUCCUUCCAGCUUCUGCCUGCAUUCUCACGAAUGCCUUGAGAUCCAACAGAAAUUCCUGCUACUCAAC
ensembl:lncRNA